UACGGAGGUGGCGAGCGUUACUCGGAUUCAUUGGGUGUAAAGGGCAGGUAGGCGGACCAAAAAGUCUUAUUUGAAAUUCUUUGGCUUAACCAAAGAACCGGAUAAGAUACUCUUGGUCUUGAGGCAGAAAGAGGAAGAUGGAAGUCCCGGUGUAAGGGUGAAAUCUGUAGAUAUCGGGAAGAACACCAAUAGCGAAGGCAAUCUUCUGGUUCUGACCUGACGCUGAGCUGCGAAAGCUAGGGGAGCAAACAGG
rnacentral:rRNA from 1 species